rnacentral:rRNA from 1 species
UACGUAGGGGGCAAGCGUUGUCCGGAUUUAUUGGGCGUAAAAGGCUUGUAGGUGGCCACGCCAAGUCGGAUGUGAAAUCUCCCGGCUCAACUGGGAGGGGUCAUUCGAUACUGGCGGGCUCGAGGCCGGUAGGGGGAAGUGGAAUUCCUGGUGUAGCGGUGAAAUGCGCAGAUAUCAGGAGGAACACCGGUGGCGAAGGCGGGUCUCUGGGCCGAAACUGACGCUGAGGAGCGAAAGCGUGGGGAGCAAACAGG